CCAUCUGACCAAAAAUUGGGAUGGUGACACUGUGAUGAACUGAACUGAUGACCUGCUACACAUUUCAUGAGUGACAAAAGCAAGAAGUGGUUCAUCUCUUUAAAGAUUUUUGUUUUUGGGUUUCAGACGACUCUAAGCACACCUGAGAUUGGAGAUGGUGGCUGAAGACGACUCCGAGCAGGAGGGAUUUUCUUCUACAUCUGUGAUUGGAGAUGGUGGCUGAAGAUGACUGAGCUGGAACGAUGGUGGCAGAAGACGACCCAGACCUGGAGGAAUUGGUCUUCUCUACAUCUGACUAUGCAGAUGAUGGCAGGAGAUAGCUGGACGGGAGGGCUUCCUGUUCUCUGAAUGUGUACCUGCAGAUGGGGGCAUCGGAUUGGUAAUCGGAUAAGGACCAACUUCCUAGAAUGCACUUGCUGUGCCCAGGCUACUGCCUAAAGGUUUCUUGGGAAUGUCUGCGUGACCCAAUAAAGAUGAUCCAUUUGAGCAAUGAAACUUGCUGUGAUUGCCAUUUUCAUCUUGUGAAAACAACGUGGUGAAUUAUAUACUCUAAGGAAGAAAGUUUAAGACUUUGCACACCAGUCCGAUUUUUAAUACACAUUAAAACUCAUCUGUUAUAGACCUUUAUUUUUGGUCAAGAAUGAGGGUGAAAAAUUGUCAAUAAAACCUAUUUCAACUGAA